CUGGUGUAGGGGGGCUUAUAUACCUGCUGGAGGGAAGUGUUGCCACAGGCAGAAGCAGUCCAGAGACUAACCAACCAGAAUGUUCAGAACAAAAGAGGAAGCCAGUCCAUGAUGAACUUAAGUUGUGAAGGUAAUCAACAGUUCAAUAGAAGCAGUAACCAGCGGCAAUCACAUCGAGGAUUUAGUAGAAGAGGAGGAAGAGGAAAUUAUUUUGGUUGUCAAAAUGAAUUGCCACAGCAGCAGAGACAAGGCAAUCAUGGUCCUGGGCAACCCUUGGAAAGAAAUAGAUAUAAUCAUAGUCCAAGUCCGUCCUAUUGUCCACCACUGAAUGAAAGACCUCCACAUUAUCAGCCACACUCUUGGAACUCAGAAAAUUCACAUUACAGAACUCAUAAACGUGCAGACUAUCACC